rnacentral:tRNA from 3 species
CGGGGUGUGGCGCAGUUGGUUAGCGUACGCGUCUGGGGGGCGUGUGGUCGGCAGUUCGAGUCUGCUCACCCCGA